rnacentral:rRNA from 1 species
AGCGAACGCUGGCGGCAGGCCUAACACAUGCAAGUCGAACGAACCUUUCGGGGUUAGUGGCGGACGGGUGAGUAACACGUGGGAACGUGCCUUUAGGUUCGGAAUAACUCAGGGAAACUUGUGCUAAUACCGAAUGUGCCCUUCGGGGGAAAGAUUAAUCGCCUUUAGAGCGGCCCGCGUCUGAUUAGCUAGUUGGUUGAGGUAAUGGCUCACCAAGGCGACGAUCAGUAGCUGGUCUGAGAGGAUGAUUAGCCACAUUGGGACUGAGACACGGCCCAAACUCCUACGGGAGGCAGCAGUGGGGAAUAUUGCGCAAUGGGCGAAAGCCCGACGCAGCCAUGCCGCGUGAGUGAUGAAGGCCUUAGGGUUGUAAAGCUCUUUCAGCUGGGAAGAUAAUGACGGUACCAGCAGAAGAAGCCCCGGCUAACUCCGUG